AGGGCGCACGGGGGAUGCCUAGGCUCUCAGAGAUGACGAAGGACGUGGUAAGCUGCGAAAAGCUACGGGGAAGUGCAAACGACUUUUGAUCCGUAGAUGUCCGAAUGGGGAAACCUGGUAUCGUGAAGCGAUAUCGUCGAAAGACAGCAACCCGAUGAACUGAAACAUCUAAGUAGUCGGAGGAGAAUAAAACAAUAGUGAUUCCGCAAGUAGUGGCGAGCGAACGCGGAUUAGCCCAAACCAUUGCGAUACGUCGUAGUGGGGUUGUAGGACUUGUAUAAUCGAAGCAAAUUGAAGUGGAAGUGCUCUGGAAAGGCACACCAAAGAAAGUGACAGUCUUGUACACGUAAGAUUUGUUAGAGACGAGUAUCCUGAGUAAGGCGGGACCGGAGAAAUCCUGUCUGAAUUUGGCGGCACCAUCCGCUAAGGCUAAAUACUCCUGAGAGACCGAUAGUGAACCAGUACCGUGAGGGAAAGGUGAAAAGAACCCCCAGAAGGGGAGUGAAAAGACCCUGAAACCGUGCGCUUACAAGCGGUCGGAGCCAUAUUUAUAUGGUGACGGCGUGCCUUUUGCAUAAUGAGCCUACGAGUUACACCUUACUAGCGAGUUUAAGGCCUUCAGGGCUGUAGGCGAAGCGAAAGCGAGUCUGAAUAGGGCGACAGCUAGUAGGGGUAGACGCGAAACCCGGUGAUCUACCCAUGGGCAGGUUGAAGGUUGGAUAGUCUCCAACUGGAGGACCGAACCGGUACAUGUUGAAAAAUGUUCGGAUGACCUGUGGGUAGGGGUGAAAGGCCAAUCAAACCGGGAGAUAGCUCGUACUCCCCGAAAUGCAUUUAGGUGCAGCGUUGGGAAGAGUGUCAUGGAGGUAGAGCUACCGAUAGGGCUAGGGGGCUUCACCGCCUACCAACCCCUGACGAACUCCGAAUGCCAUGACAUUGCACCAGCAGUGAGGCAGUGGGUGCUAAGGUCCAUUGCCAAGAGGGAAACAACCCAGACCAUCAGCUAAGGUCCCCAAGUGUAUACUAAGUUGAAUGAACGAUGUGAGGAUGCUAAGACAGCUAGGAUGUUGGCUUGGAAGCAGCCAUUCAUUUAAAGAGUGCGUAACAGCUCACUAGUCGAGCGUUCUUGCGCGGAAAAUACUCGGGCAUUAAGUAUACCACCGAAGCUAUGGGAUCGCAAGAUCGGUAGGGGAGCAUUGUAGUUGGGCAGAAGCUGUGCUGUGAGGCAUGGUGGACUGGCUACAAAAGCAAAUGUAGGCAUGAGUAACGAUAAACAAGGUGAGAAACCUUGUCGCCGUAAGACUAAGGGUUCCUCGUUCGAUGUUAAUCAGAACAGGGUUAGUCGGGUCCUAAGGUGUAGCCGCAAGGCGAAGCCGAUGGCAAACGGGUUAAUAUUCCCGUACCUGCUCACGACGAAAGUGACGGAGGCGUGUAGGUGGUGCGCACUGACGGAAUAGUGCGUUGAACUAAUCGAAAGGUUAGGAUAGUACCAGGAAGGCUCCGGUCUGAAUGGAUAAUCCACUGAAGCGACUUCCAAGAAAUAGCGAGUGAAGCAGCCCGUACCGUAAACCGACACAGGUAGUCGAGGAGAGUAUCCUCAGGCGCUCGAGUGAUUCAUGGCUAAGGAACUAGGCAAAUUGGACGCGUAACUUCGGGAGAAGCGUCCCCUACUUCGGUAGGGCGCAGUGAAAAGGCCCAGGCGACUGUUUAGCAAAAACACAGGACUCUGCGAAAUCGAAAGAUGAAGUAUAGGGUCUGACACCUGCCCGGUGCUGGAAGGUUAAGGAAGGCAGUUAGCACUUCGGUGCAAAGCUGUUGACUGAAGCCCCAGUAAACGGCGGCCGUAACUAUAACGGUCCUAAGGUAGCGAAAUUCCUUGUCGGGUAAGUUCCGACCUGCACGAAUGGUGUAACGAUCUGGGCACUGUCUCAGCCACGAGCUCGGUGAAAUUGAAGUAUCGGUGAAGAUGCCGAUUACCCGCAACGGGACGAAAAGACCCCGUGAACCUUUACUACAGCUUCACAUUGUGUUAGGGUAUAAGAUGUGUAGGAUAGGUGGGAGGCUUCGAAGCUGCCACGCCAGUGGUGGUGGAGCCGUCCUUGAAAUACCACCCUUCUUAUACUUUGAUACUAACUUCAGCAACAACUGGAGGACAUUGUGUGGUGGGUAGUUUGACUGGGGUGGUCGCCUCCUAAAGAGUAACGGAGGCUCGCAAAGGUACCCUCAGCAUGGUUGGUAAUCAUGCGAAGAGCGUAUGAGUAUAAGGGUGCUUGACUGGGAGAGAGACAUCUCGAUCAGGUGCGAAAGCAGGCUUAAGUGAUCCGGUGGUUCCGUAUGGAAGGGCCAUCGCUCAAAGGAUAAAAGGUACUCCGGGGAUAACAGGCUGAU
rnacentral:rRNA from 1 species